UACGUAGGUGGCAAGCGUUGUCCGGAAUUAUUGGGCGUAAAGCGCGCGCAGGCGGUCCUUUAAGUCUGAUGUGAAAGCCCACGGCUCAACCGUGGAGGGUCAUUGGAAACUGGGGGACUUGAGUGCAGAAGAGGAAAGCGGAAUUCCACGUGUAGCGGUGAAAUGCGUAGAUAUCUGGAGGAAUACCGGUGGCGAAGGCGGCAUCCUGGACCGGCAUUGACGCUGAGGAGCGAAAGCCAGGGGAGCAAACGGG
rnacentral:rRNA from 1 species